AGUCGAACGCGAAAGAGGGGGCAACCCCUUGAGUAGAGUGGCGAACGGGUGAGUAACGCGUGAGAAACCUGCCCUCAGCAGGGGGAUAACACUCCCAACGGAGUGCUAAUACCGCAUGAGACCACGGGACCGCAUGGUCCUGGGGUCAAAGGUGGCCUCUGCUUGCAAGCUACCGGCUGAGGAUGGUCUCGCGUCCCAUUAGCUAGUUGGCGGGGUAAUGGCCCACCAAGGCGACGAUGGGUAGCUGGUCUGAGAGGAUGGUCAGCCACACUGGGACUGAGAUACGGCCCAGACUCCUACGGGAGGCAGCAGUCGAGAGGCUUCGGCAAUGGGGGAAACCCUGACCGAGCGACGCCGCGUGGAGGAUGAAGGCCCUUGGGUUGUAAACUCCUUUUGUUCGGGAAGAAGUGCGAUCAGGUGAAUAAUCUGGUCGUUUGACGGUACCGGACGAAUAAGCUCCGGCUAACUCCGUGCCAGCAGCCGCGGUAACACGGGGGGAGCAAGCGUUGUUCGGAAUCACUGGGCGUAAAGGGCGUGUAGGCGGUUUGGUAAGUGGGAUGUGAAAUGCUCCGGCUCACCCGGAGAGGUGCAUCCCAUACUGCUAGACUUGAGUACGGGAGAGGAUGGGGGAAUUCCUGGUGUAGCGGUGAAAUGCGUAGAUAUCAGGAGGAACACCGGUGGCGAAGGCGCCCAUCUGGCC
rnacentral:rRNA from 1 species